GGAAUAUUGGACAAUGGGGGAAACCCUGAUCCAGCGACGCCGCGUGGGUGAAGAAGGCCUGCGGGUUGUAAAGCCCUUUCGGUGGGGAAGAAAAGUUUCGACCUAACACGUCGGGACCUUGACGUAACCCACUAAAGAAGCACCGGCUAACUCUGUGCCAGCAGCCGCGGUAAUACAGAGGGUGCGAGCGUUAAUCGGAAUUACUGGGCGUAAAGCGCGCGUAGGCGGCUUUGCAAGUCGGAUGUGAAAUCCCCAGGCUUAACCUGGGAACUGCUUCCGAGACUGCAUCGCUAGAGUAUGGGAGAGGGAAGUGGAAUUUCAGGUGUAGCGGUGAAAUGCGUAGAUAUCUGAAGGAACAUCAGUGGCGAAAGCGACUUCCUGGACCAAUACUGACGCUCAUGUGCGAAAGCGUGGGGAGCAAA
rnacentral:rRNA from 1 species